CCUACGGGUGGCUGCAGUGGGGAAUAUUGGGCAAUGGACGCAAGCCUGACCCAGCAACGCCGCGUGAAGGAAGACGGCCCUCGGGUUGUAAACUUCUUUUGUCAGGGACGAAGACAGUGACGGUACCUGACGAAUAAGCCACGGCUAACUACGUGCCAGCAGCCGCGGCAAUACGUAGGUGGCAAGCGUUAUCCGGAUUUACUGGGUGUAAAGGGCGUGUAGGCGGGACUGCAAGUCAGAUGUGAAAUUCCAGGGCUCAACCACGGAACUGCAUUUGAAACUGUAGUUCUUGAGUGAUGGAGAGGCAGGCGGAAUGUCUGGUGUAGCGGUGAAAUGCGUAGAGAUAAGAAAGAACACCAGUGGCGAAGGCAGCCUGCUGGGCAUUAACUGACGCUGAGGCGCGAAAGCGUGGGGAGCAAACAGGAUUAGAUACCCGAGUAGUC
rnacentral:rRNA from 1 species